rnacentral:rRNA from 1 species
UUGGAGGGCAAGUCUGGUGCCAGCAGCCGCGGUAAUUCCAGCUCCAAUAGCGUAUAUUAAAGUUGUUGCAGUUAAAAGCUCGUAGUUGGAUUUCGGGGUUCUACCGUUGGUCGGGCUUUGUCUGUACUGGCGUGUAGAAUUUCUACCUUCUGGGGAACCACCAUGUUAUUAAUUUAGCGUGGUGGGAAACCAGGACCUUUACCUUGAAAAAAUUAGAGUGUUCAAAGCAGGCUUAUGUCUGAAUACAUUAGCAUGGAAUAAUAGAAUAGGACGGUGGUCCUGUUUUGUUGGUUUCUGAAUCACCGUAAUGAUUAAUAGGGAUAGUUGGGGGCAUUAGUAUUCAAUUGUCAGAGGUGAAAUUCUUGGAUUUAUUGAAGACUAACUUCUGCGAAAGCAUUUGCCAAGGAUGUUUUCAUUAAUCAAGAACGAAAGUUAGGGGAUCGAAGACGAUCAGAUACCGUCGUAGUCUUAACCAUAAACUAUGCCGACUAGGGAUCGGACGAUGUUAAUUUUUCUUGACUCGUUCGGCGCCUUACGGGAAAC